AUGCUCACUUGGGCAGCACAUAUCUCAAAAUUAUAAUGAAACUGAGAAAAUUAGUAAGGUCCCUGUGCAAAGAUGAUCUCCAAAAUCAUGAAGGAUUCUAUGAUUUU
ensembl:snRNA U6 U6 spliceosomal RNA